rnacentral:rRNA from 1 species
GAGGUCUCAAGCGUUGUUCGGAUUCAUUGGGCGUAAAGGGUGCGUAGGCGGCGCGGUAAGUCGGGUGUGAAAUCUCGGAGCUUAACUCCGAAACUGCAUUCGAUACUGCCGUGCUUGAGGACUGGAGAGGAGACUGGAAUUUACGGUGUAGCGGUGAAAUGCGUAGAUAUCGUAAGGAAGACCAGCGGCGAAGGCGGGUCUCUGGACAGUUCCUGACGCUGAGGCACGAAGGCCAGGGGGAGCAAACGGGAUUAGAUACCCCGGUAGUCCUGGCAGUAAACGGUGCACGUUUGGUGUGGGAGGAUUCGACCCCUUCUGCGCCGGAGCUAACGCGUUAAACGUGCCGCCUGGGGAGUACGGUCGCAAGAUUA